rnacentral:rRNA from 1 species
UUUAAAUUUUUAAUUCUGCUCAUGACGAUCGGGUGCGGCGUGCAUAAUACAUGCAAGUGGAACGCUUCUUUUUCCACCGGAGCUUGCUCCACCGGGAAAAAGAAGAGUGGCGAACGGGGUGAGUAACACGUGGGUAACCUGCCCAUCAGAAGGGGGAUAACACUUGGAAACAGGUGCUAAUACCGUAUAACAAUCAAAACCGCAUGGUUUUGAUUUGAAAGGCGCUUUCGGGUGUCGCUGAUGGAUGGACCCGCGGUGCAUUAGAUAGUUGGUGAGGUAACGGCUCUCCAAGGCCACGAUGCAUAUCCGACCUGAGAGGGUGAUCGCCCACAUUGGGAGUGAGACACGGCCCAAACUCUUACGGGAGGCAGCAGUAGGGAAUAUUCGGCAAUGGAGGAAAGUCUGACCGAGCAACGCCGCGUGAGUGAAGAAGGUUUUCGGAUCGUAAAACUCUGUUGUUAGAGAAGAACAAGGAUGAGAGUAACUGUUCAUCCCUUGACGGUAUCUAACCAGAAAGCCACGGCUAAAUACGUGCCAGCACCCGCGGUAAUACGUAGGUGGCAAGCGUUGUCCGGAUUUAUUGGGCGUAAGGCGAGCGCAGGCGGUUUCUUAAGUCUGAUGUGAAAGCCCCCGGCUCACCCGGGGAGGGUCAUUGGAAACUGGGAGACUUGAGUGCAGAAGAGGAGAGUGGAAUUCCAUGUGUAGCGGUGAAAUGCGUAGAUAUAUGGAGGAACACCAGUGGCGAAGGCGGCUCUCUGGUCUGUAACUGACGCUGAGGCUCGAAAGCGUGGGGAGCAAACAGGAUUAGAUACCCUGGUAGUCCACGCCGUAAACGAUGAGUGCUAAGUGUGGAGGGUUUCCGCCCUUCAGUGCUGCAGCUAACGCAUAAGCUCUCCGCCUGG